AUCUUCCACAAUGGGCGAAAGCCUGAUGGAGCAACGCCGCGUGAGUGAAGAAGGUUUUCGGAUCGUAAAACUCUGUUGUAAGGGAAGAACAAGUACAGAAGUCACUGGCUUUCCCUUGACGUUACCUUAUUAGAAAGCCACGGCUAACUACUUCCCCGCAGCCGCGGUAAUCCGUCGGUGGCAAGGGUUGUCCGGAAGUAUGGGGCGGAAAGCGCGCGCAGGCGGUCCUUUAAGUCUGAUGUGAAAGCCCACGGCUCAACCGUGGAGGGUCAUUGGAAACUGGGGGACUUGAGUGCAGAAGAGGAAAGUGGAAUUCCAAGUGUAGCGGUGAAAUGCGUAGAGAUUUGGAGGAACACCAGUGGCGAAGGCGACUUUCUGGUCUGUAACUGACGCUGAGGCGCGAAAGCGUGGGGAGCAAACAG
rnacentral:rRNA from 1 species